CGACACCAUGGAAAAAUGAGAGGGGAGAAUUCCCAGAGAACACAGACCACCAUUCUACAAACAAGUGCAAUGGCUAUGGAAGGCCUGUGGGAAACCUUCCUGGGAUGACAGGCGCCCUCCAACAACAAGAAGAAGAGUACUCCCCAGAAAAAAAAUAACUGAAGAAAUAACAAAUGAAUUAAAUGAGGAAGAUGAGGAUGUGCCCAGACCUGUGGAGAAAGUGGAAAUGACUCAGUUCAUACAUUCACAGACAGUGCUGUUCAAACUGUGACCCCAUAGUGGAUGAAGCCACACAAACCACAAGCCUUGAUGGCAUCAUGAAGAAUAUAACUGGCCUGGAUCACAAGGUCAAUGCUACAUUUAAGAUCCUGUUUGACAAAGUUGAACAAAUAAGGUUUGGGAAAUGUUGCUGCUACCCACGCCGAUCUAGCAAUCACAACAGGAGAAAUGCUGCCACUAUCUGCACCUGUGCUGGAAUACUGUCACAUUUUCAUCAGCCCUCCCCCCAAAAAAAGCCUGCACGACUAAAGGGCGGGAACGCACUGCAUGCUGGGAUGCCUGUCAUGUGAGCAGCAGCAGCUAGCACAAAACUCCCGCGAUCUUCCGGGUUUUCAGCCUUGCUAACUGAUUAUUUCUGGAAUCAUUUAUCGCUGAAAUUAGUGCUACACUUGCACUAGAUUUCACCAGAAUUUCAGAGCUACCUGUUAUGUCGUGUGAAAGCUCAAAUAUAAUGCGCAAAU